rnacentral:rRNA from 1 species
AACGAACGCUGGCGGCAGGCCUAACACAUGCAAGUCGAGCGGACCCUUCGGGGUUAGCGGCGGACGGGUGAGUAACGCGUGGGAAUAUGCCCUUCUCUACGGAAUAGUCCUGGGAAACUGGGGGUAAUACCGUAUACGCCCUUUGGGGGAAAGAUUUAUCGGGGAAGGAUUAGCCCGCGUUGGAUUAGGUAGUUGGUGGGGUAAUGGCCUACCAAGCCGACGAUCCAUAGCUGGUUUGAGAGGAUGAUCAGCCACACUGGGGCUGAGACACGGCCCAGACUCCUACGGGAGGCAGCAGUGGGGAAUCUUAGACAAUGGGGGCAACCCUGAUCUAGCCAUGCCGCGUGAGUGAUGAAGGCCUUAGGGUUGUAAAGCUCUUUCAGCUGGGAAGAUAAUGACGGUACCAGCAGAAGAAGCCCCGGCUAACUCCGUG